GCUACCGCGGCGGGCUCCACACCCCGGAGCGCUGCUGCUAGCCGGGGGGCCGAAGCCCCGCUGGGGCCGACCUCCUGGCUUGUGCGAGUCCACCGGGAAGACCCGAGAGGAAGGGCGGCUGCCGGGGACUCUGAAGGGAGCGCUGACGCGGCUGCAGUUCCCGUGGUGCCAAAGGCGCCCCUGGGAGCAGGGACUCUGUUUCGUUCACUGUUCUUUCCCUUGCUGGUGCUUCACACCCAAUAGCUGAGCAACAGCCGAGGUCGCGCCUUCAACCCGCUCAGCCAGGGCGGACACGAGGGGAGGAGGCGGCUCUCCCGCCCCCGCCCCCCACACUUCGUCAGGGCCUCUACGCUCCUGUCCAGGUUCUUCUUCAGAAGGUCUUUGGCUCUCCCCUCUUCAGGUCGCCAGGUCGUUUCCUCCUGAGAAGAGGAUGUCCUGAAUUACACCCACGGGGAUGGAACGUGUUCCAUUGCAAAUUAAUCACUUGUCGUUCUGUUACUGGAAUAAGGUUCUUGCCUCUCACUGGUCAAGAAUGAGCAGCUAUUUCUCAAACAGGCACCCUCCGAUCUCAGGGCCUUUGCUCCGUGUCUGAGUUCUUCACUUCCUGCAUAAGGCUCUCGAGUGCCUUCUCAGCCUGAUUCACUCCCGCGGAGUUGGCUCAAAGCGGACCCAAGCCCCUGCAAAGCUGCGCCGCCCCGGCGCGGAGGUCCGGAGAGGCGAGUCGGGUGCCCUUACGCCCUCACGGUGGGGCAGUCCUCGCUGCGAGGGAGCCAGGAACUACGGGGUGGCAGGCAGUGAUGGAAGAGCACGGCGGGAGCUCUCCGGCAGCGCCUCUUUCCCGGACCCCGCCGGCAACACUGUGUGCGAUUGUAAUCAGCAGAGUGUUUUCUUAACCUGCUGCUUUGACCCGGUGGUGAGGCCCUAGCUAGAGGCCUCUCUAAUCCCCUUCCUGAGCAGCUGAUGAAGCCCAUCCUCCAACCACUCCUGGGCCACUGUGCGCCCGCCCUAAACGCCCUGCGGCCAGGGACCUAACAAGAGGGACAGCCCCUAUGUCUGGAGCCUUCGGAAUUGAAAUUCAACAUAUCCAGUCUCAAUCCUGGGGAAGCCUCGCUAACCCCAUCCUGCUUGCCCUUCAGUUCCAGCCCGUAGUUGUUACCCUGUCCCCAGGUGCAACCCCUGAAUGGCCCUGCGUGGAGUGCAGUGUUCUCCCCAGGGACCUGUGAGUACAAUGACACCUUUAAGAA